rnacentral:rRNA from 1 species
AGGGGAGUGAAAAAGAACCUGAAACCGUGUACGUACAAGCAGUGGGAGCACGCUUAGGCGUGUGACUGCGUACCUUUUGUAUAAUGGGUCAGCGACUUAUAUUCUGUAGCAAGGUUAACCGAAUAGGGGAGCCGAAGGGAAACCGAGUCUUAACUGGGCGUUAAGUUGCAGGGUAUAGACCCGAAACCCGGUGAUCUAGCCAUGGGCAGGUUGAAGGUUGGGUAACACUAACUGGAGGACCGAACCGACUAAUGUUGAAAAAUUAGCGGAUGACUUGUGGCUGGGGGUGAAAGGCCAAUCAAACCGGGAGAUAGCUGGUUCUCCCCGAAAGCUAUUUAGGUAGCGCCUCGUGAAUUCAUCUCCGGGGGUAGAGCACUGUUUCGGCAAGGGGGUCAUCCCGACUUACCAACCCGAUGCAAACUGCGAAUACCGGAGAAUGUUAUCACGGGAGACACACGGCGGGUGCUAACGUCCGUCGUGAAGAGGGAAACAACCCAGACCGCCAGCUAAGGUCCCAAAGUCAUGGUUAAGUGGGAAACGAUGUGGGAAGGCCCAGACAGCCAGGAUGUUGGCUUAGAAGCAGCCAUCAUUUAAAGAAAGCGUAAUAGCUCACUGGUCGAGUCGGCCUGCGCGGAAGAUGUAACGGGGCUAAACCAUGCACCGAAGCUGCGGCAGCGACGCUGAUGCGUUGUUGGGUA